rnacentral:rRNA from 1 species
CCCUUAGAUGUCCGGGGCCGCACGCGCGCUACAAUUGAUGUAUCAACAAGUUACAGGUGCCGAAAGGCUCAUGAAACCUGCUGAAACACAUCAUUGACCGGGAUCGUGGAUCGAAAAAUCCACGUAAACGAGGAAUUCCUAGUAGGUGUACGUCAUCAGCGUGUACUGAUUACGUCCCUGCCCUUUGUACACACCGCCCGUCGCACCUACCGAUUGAAUGAUCCGGUGAAAUCUCGGGAUUGUGGCCAGUUCACUUUAUUGGGAGUUGGCUGUGAGAACUUGCUUAAACCUUAUCAUUUAGAGGAAGGUGAAGUCGUAACA